GCGGACUGCUAUGCGGAGCCAACUCGCCGUCUGGGCGGAGGUCCUGGAGUCGAUCGGCCGAUCUUCCGAGCAGCAUCCACCAGGACAGGCUAGCAACUUGGUCUACCACACUUUCCCAGCACUUUUCGUGCAUCCUUUCUCCUGCAAACACCAACUGUGACUCCUCCCAGGAUGUGUCUGGGUUGGCCUGGCCUGGAAGUCUCAGUCAAUUCUCCUUGGAAUUUUCCAUUCCUUCUACAUCCAGGCCCAAACCAGAUCCUAGCGAAUGGGAGUGGCGCAGGGUGCCCAAGCCCGGCCCCGCAGCAGCCCCGGUCCUGGGAGAGGCCCGAG